GAUGAACGCUAGCGGCAGGCCUAACACAUGCAAGUCGAGGGGCAGCACAUAAAGUGGUUUACUACUUUUGGUGGCGACCGGCGGACGGGUGCGCAACGCGUAUGCAACCUGCCUCCAACAGGGGGAUAACGGAGAGAAAUUUCCACUAAUACCCCAUAAUAUCAGAAUCGGCAUCGGUUUUGGUUGAAAACUCCGGUGGUUGGAGAUGGGCAUGCGUUGUAUUAGAUAGUUGGUGAGGUAACGGCUCACAAAGUCAACGAUACAUAGGGGGACUGAGAGGUUAGCCCCCCACACUGGUACUGAGACACGGACCAGACUCCUACGGGAGGCAGCAGUGAGGAAUAUUGGUCAAUGGGGGCAACCCUGAACCAGCCAUGCCGCGCGCAGGAAGACGGCUCUAUGAGUUGUAAACUGCUUUUACAAGGGGAUAAAUCGGUGUACGUGUACACCGUUGAAGGUACCUUGGGAAUAAGGAUCGGCUAACUCCGUGCCAGCAGCCGCAGUAA
rnacentral:rRNA from 1 species